rnacentral:miRNA from 1 species
UGUGUGUGUGUGUGUGUGUGUGUGUGUGUGAGAGAGAGAGAGAGAGAGAGAGAGAGAGAGAAUUUGAUUGGCAUACACACACACACACACACACACACACACACACU